ensembl:lncRNA
GGUAUUUCAAAUUUUGUUUUAUUAACAAUGCAUCCCUUUGAUAGGAUUGUAUGUUUCUUUAGGUCAUCAAUUCCCCCCCAAAACAUACUGUACACAUUAUACAAGGGAAAACACAAUUCAGGCAAAAAAAAAGAAAUUAACAAAAAACAACUUUAAAUUAUAAUACAGUCUUGAGGAAAAAAUAUAAAUAACUUUUUUUCUCCUCGGGUUGAGCUCACUCUAUGGUACAGACAUAUAAUAAAUAGAUCGGACUGGACAUUACUCAGCUGAUCUAUGAAUCAUCUCUCUAUGAGUCCCAUUUGUGUAGCAGCAUUAUAGCAAAAACCAAGCCAAUGGAAACAGAUCCCCGUUCCCCGGGAAACCUUUUACAAAUCCUUUAGUCAUCAUCACACCGCCCCUUCCUCCAUCUCAGGCAAUGACAGACAGUGAUAUUGCAUUGUGGAAACAGAUUCAAGGGGAAUUAUAUCCCUACAAUGUGACGGCAGCAUUUAAUGGCAGCCUAUUCCUUUUAUUAUUAUUAUUGUUUUCUAAGUUUUACAAGCAAGAAAGACGUUGAGGUGACAUUAGAACGUUGCCAUGCUUGUUGCACAUGCAGUGGAAGUGAAGCACAGAGGUAAGAAGGGGCCGAGUUGUGUAGCCGCAGGGGGGGGGGGGGGGGGUAUGCAGGUUUUGCAGACGUCUGUGAGCAGAGUUUCGCACCGAAUCUGUAAUGAAUCAUUAUACAGAUAACUUUACAACUGAGCAUCUUUUAAAAGGAUCAACCCACCUUCUGAGAAAGCCUACCGGUAAUGUCUGAAGAAAUAACAUUAAAAAAGGUCCUAGGCAAGUAAAGGAUGGCAUUAACUAGCAUUUAAUUACAUGCUAUUCUCCUCACGUAUUGUUUAAGGGUGACAUAUAUAGUGCUUUAGAAAAUACUUGUGAUGUUUGAUUGUCUGAGAUACAAGGAAUAGAAAAGUAAUCGGCUGUCUGUGCGGACGAGAGGCUACAGGUUGUAGGAAGUGUCGAGGCAGGAGAAGCAAAAGCACAUAUCUGGCUAGAACAGAUCACAAGUCGGGGUGGAAUAUGAACCAGGGAGGCUCCAGAUAAGUUUUAAAAACAGCAGGACCCCUCCUGUAGUGUUUUGUUUCAUGAGGAAAAAAGAACGCAGGGGUCCGAGGAAUCACUAGGUCGACACAACAACAUGCCUUAUUCACGUCAUUACAGAAAAAAAAACACCGCCUCUGGUAAGAGAUAAAAUGUUGAUAGAACCUUUUUUUCUUUUAAACACGCAAGUCUUUGUGUUAAUAAUACCGUUUUCUCCUUUAGCAUUAUGUUGAUGUAUUAUUGAGUGUUGCUAAAGAUGUGCCAACAUAUCUGAAAACAGUAUUUGGUUAAACCGCUACCCCUUUUUCCUGUUAAAAAAAAAAAAAAAAAAAUCUUAAACAGCAUUAGGUGGGUCGGGUUAAAUCUAAAAAUUAAAUUAAAUCUGAAAUUAAAUCUUUGUUUAGAGAUAAACACGUUCAGUUUCCAAAGACGGCGAGCGCUGACCACCUUCGCCUCCCUAGCUAUGGUAGGAACAGAAACUUGCCAGACGCCUUCCCAACCCUAUAACUUAUUUACUGUCGGCUGUUUUUCCAUUUUGGGUGGCAGGUCCGAGGCUUUGCAGGGAACACAAGGGAGCGGACGGUCAGGAUUCUUCAGGAGAGACACCAGCUUCUUCAACGGGUUUUGGUAGCUUCGUCAGGAUCCCCUCUGCUUCUUCAUACAUCUGAAAAGAGGACAUAGGGAUAGAAUACAUGGAAUGGCAAUCACAAAAGAUGCAGAAUCUCAGGUAAUGCAGGACGACGGGUAAGUCUUACAGGCAUGAAUUGCACGUCCUGGAAGAGUUCCUGUAUGAAACGCCGCGACGUCAGGCGGAACAUGCAGUGAGCUAAGAGGUGGGAGACCUCGGAGUACAAGCAGAUGUCGUCAAACGCAUAGGGAAACUUCUCCUUUAUCCUGCAGGAAAACGACACUCAUGAGGCCUUGUCG